UUACCCUAAUUAGGGAUAAUGAAACAUUAGAAAUUUUAGCCCUCUGCCUAACAAAAUUGAGUUCUUCAGAAUCAAGACAAAGAUUUUUCGAUCUCAGCCCGUGUCCUUCGAAAUCAUUCAUUUUUAAAUCCGAUCCUUUCUUUAUUCACAAUAUCUUCUACUGAAGUGUGAGCCUCCUCUAUCCAGUAUCUCGGCCAUACAUGACUUCUUCCUUCUUUUUGCUAACACGUGUGUUGCAGUAUUGGCCGAUCUAGCAGUUACCCCUUUAAUUACCGCCAACGCGUCACCUUCCACGCAGAUUUCUCUUAAGCCUAACUCCUCCCCAAAAGUGACCGCAUGCAAGCAUGCCCAGGAUUCUGCCAAUUUCGGUGUUGAGAUGUUUGAGAACGGGUAAAUGCAUGCAAUUAUAAUCAGUCCAUUUUUAUUUCUGGCAAUUAUAACUACCUUAGAAAUGUUAAGAUCCUGUUGAAAAGAGGCAUCAAAAUUAAUUUUGAUCAUAUCCCCAUUAGGUGGUUCCCAUUUAACAUUUUUAGGCACUGUUCUUGACAUUACAACACCUUCGAUUAACUUGUUCUCCGGUAAGUAUGCUUCAAUAAAGGAAAUCACCUAUUGUUCAUUUGGGGUUUGUCUCUUGUGAUAUAUUCUGUUUCUGUUGAACCAUAGUGCCCAGAAAGAUAUCAUAAGAGUUUUACAUUUUUUGCUUUCAUUUUCGUAGAAGAAAUCCACUAACCAAUUUUGUCAUUCUUGAUUUCUAUCUGAGGUUGAAUCUUCGACUCUCAGAUCUUGCAGGAUCUUUUUUUUGUGAAUUCGCAAUCUUGGAACAGAUGUGUCACGGUUUCCUCAUCUUCCUUGCAAACUGGGCAACGAGCUUUUCUCACCAAGCCUUUAUUUUUGAAGUUGUAAAGCGUAGGCAAAAGCCCCUUCGAAAGUUUCCACAUGUGUAUCCGGAUUUUAGUUACUACUUUAAUCUUCCACAUCUUUGUAAAGAAUGUAUGCAUUCUAGAAUUUUGUAAAGCGGCGUUGUCUUUUGUAUUGUGUAAAUUCUCUAAAAUAAGCCAUCUGUAGCCGCUUUUGACUGUGUAAUUUCUUGAUUUAUCACCCCGCCAUACCAAGAUAUCUGGUUGGUUUUGACACACCAGUGGAAUCACAAGGAUCCGUUUUAUUGUCUCUUCAUUGAACAGAAUUCUAAGGGAUUCUAUAUUCCAGGUCAUGACAGCCAAUUAUCAUUCCAUAUGUUAAUAAAGGCACCAUUCCCCACCUUCCAUCCCAAUCCUUGUUCCAAUAAGGAGCGGGCAUUCCAGAUACUACGCCAGGUAAACGAUGGGUAAGAUCCCAGUCUUGCACUCAAAAAAUCACCUAUAGGAUAAUAUUUAGCUUUCAUAACAUGUGCAAGCAAACUAGUUGGGUUCGUAAUUAGAUUCCAUCCUUGUUUGGCUAACAAGGCAACAUUAAACUUUGAUAAGCCCCAAAACCCCAUCUCCCCUUACGAUUUCGUGUUACACAUGGCUGACCAGCUGCACCAAUGAAUGCUUUUAUUUGUAACUGUAUUACGCCACUAGAAUCUGUUAAACACAUUUUCUAACUCCCUGCAAAAAGAAUUGGCAACAUAAAAUAUUGCAUUGCGUAAACUGGGACUGCCUGCAACACCGAUUUUAUCAACACUUCUUUAUCGCCAAUAGAUAAAAACCUCACGCUCCAAUUUUUUAAUUUCCUAAUAAUUCUUUCUUUGAUUUCGUCAAAAGCAUAUCUUUUGCGGCUCCCCACCAUUGUUGGUAAUCCAAAAUAUUUCUCGGGAUUAUUUGCAAUUCGAACGCCAAAGACUCUCUUGACUCUCUCCCUGUUGUUAAAACUUGUAUUUUUGCUGAAGUAAAUUAACAAUUUAUCAAAAUUAACAACUUGGCUUGAUACAUUUUCAUAAUCUUUUACCACGACUUUAUCGCUUUUGCCCCUUCCUCUGUCGCCUCUCCAAAUAGUAUGUUAUCAUCUGCAAAGAAUAAAUAUGUGAUUGCCAAACUACUUCCUAUCUUGGCUCCUUUAAUAAAACAAGCACUUUUCGCCGUUGUGAUCAAAUUGGAAAAACUUGCACACAUAUAAUAAAUAAACAGGGGCUUAGGGGAUUAAUAAAUGAAUAGGGGCUUAGGGGAUUCCCGUCUUAGGCUGCGUUCUUCAUUGCUUAACAAACGUACUUUUCCUUGAAAAAGUGCUUUUCUUUGAAAAACAAUGAAGAACGACCUUCGUUUGGUAACAAAUUCUCAAAAGCUGAGAAGUGCUUUUGGGCGGACGGAGAAGUAAAAAUUUUUAGCUUUUCAGCCAAGAGGUGCUUUUGGCUGGUUCAUUUACUUUUUUAGCCACACACGGACGCCCUUAUCUGCUCUCUGCUCUCUGCUGCUUCUUUGCCCUCAUCUCUGCCCUCUGCUGGUUCUUUGUUCUGCCCUUUGCUGGUUCUUUGUUUCUCUGCCCUCUGCGGGUGAGUUUAUUUUUUUCUUCUCUUCUUCUCUUCUUCUGUAUAUUUUUGUUUGUCUGGGAUUGAUUUUCAAUUUCCCUGCCCUCUGCCCUUUGCUGGUUCUUUGGCCUUGGAGCUGCACCAAACAGUAAAUGUUGUUGUGGAGAUUGUGAAAGAACAUUACUUGGUUAUUGCAAUUCCUGAGUAUAACCAUGCCAUAGGGUAUGCAUCAAUAGUAGAUUACAAUACACAAAAGCUUCCCCAUAAACAAUUUGUGAAUGGGCAGAGGUGAGGUUGAUUUUAGUGACCAAUCCUUUUUUGCUUAUUUUUCGCUUAUUUGUAUAUGUAAAUUGGCUGCAGUAAUCUUUACAACGUUGUAAUUGGUGUUUGGAGUUAAUAUCCUCCAUUGUUUAAUUGCUUCAAUAGCAGCUCCAUUUUUGUCUUAUGGAUAAGGUGUCAUUUUCAUUUUUGUUUGGUUUCUUUUCAAGUCCUGUAGUGUUCUUGAAUGCUUGUUGUGGAUGUGUUACUAAUGCCUAUCAAGCUUAAAUACACUCGAAAUGAUUGAUGCAGGGUUAUUGCA